rnacentral:rRNA from 1 species
GAUGAACGCUGGCGGCGUGCCUAAUACAUGCCAGUCGAGCGAACAGACGAGGAGCUUGCUCCUCUGACGUUAGCGGCGGACGGGUGAGUAACACGUGGAUAACCUACCUAUAAGACUGGGAUAACUUCGGGAAACCGGAGCUAAUACCGGAUAAUAUAUUGAACCGCAUGGUUCAAUAGUGAAAGACGGUUUUGCUGUCACUUAUAGAUGGAUCUGCGCCGCAUUAGCUAGUUGGUAAGGUAACGGCUUACCAAGGCAACGAUGCGUAGCCGACCUGAGAGGGUGAUCGGCCACACUGGAACUGAGACGCGGUCCAGACUCCUACGGGAGGCAGCAGUAGGGAAUCUUCCGCAAUGGGCGAAAGCCUGACGGAGCAACGCCGCGUGAGUGAUGAAGGUCUUCGGAUCGUAAAACUCUGUUAUUAGGGAAGAACAAAUGUGUAAGUAACUAUGCACGUCUUGACGGUACCUAAUCAGAAAGCCACGGCUAACUACGUG